AUUGAACGCUGGCGGCAGGCCUAACACAUGCAAGUCGAGCGGAUGAAGGGAGCUUGCUCCUGGAUUCAGCGGCGGACGGGUGAGUAAUGCCUAGGAAUCUGCCUGGUAGUGGGGGAUAACUUCCGGAAACGGGCGCUAAUACCGCAUACGUCCUGAGGGAGAAAGUGGGGGAUCUUCGGACCUCACGCUAUCAGAUGAGCCUAGGUCGGAUUAGCUAGUUGGUGGGGUAAAGGCCUACCAAGGCGACGAUCCGUAACUGGUCUGAGAGGAUGAUCAGUCACACUGGAACUGAGACACGGUCCAGACUCCUACGGGAGGCAGCAGUGGGGAAUAUUGGACAAUGGGCGAAAGACUGAUCCAGCCAUGCCGCGUGUGUGAAGAAGGUCUUCGGAUUGUAAAGCACUUUAAGUUGGGAGGAAGGGCAGUAAGUUAAUACCUUGCUGUUUUGACGUUACCAACAGAAUAAGCACCGGCUAACUUCGUG
rnacentral:rRNA from 1 species